rnacentral:rRNA from 1 species
AAAUGAAUUGACGGGGGCUCACACAAGCGGUGGAGGAUGUGGCUUAAUUCGAGGCUACGCGAAGAACCUUAUCCUAGUCUUGACAUGCACGGAUUAACUCGGUGAAAGCCGAGCCACGCCUUCGGGUGGAACGUGCACAGGUGCUGCAUGGCUGUCGUCAGCUCGUGUCGUGAGAUGUCGGGUUAAGUCCCUUAACGAGCGAAACCCUUGUCUCUAGUUGCCAGCGCGUUAUGGCGGGGACUCUAGAGAGACCGCCGGCGUUAAGCCGGAGGAAGGUGGGGAUGACGUCAAGUCCUCAUGGCCUUUAUGACUAGGGCUGCACACGUCCUACAAUGCUGCGCACAAAGGGAAGCAAAAUCGCAAGAUCGAGCAAAUCCCAAAAAACGCAGCUCAGUUCGGAUUGCAGGCUGCAACUCGCCUGCAUGAAGCCGGAAUCGCUAGUAAUCGUAGGUCAGCAUACUACGGUGAAUAUGUUCCUGAGCCUUGUACACACCGCCCGU